rnacentral:lncRNA from 1 species
GACGUUCAAAGCCUACAAGAAAACUAUUCUCAAAAGGUCUCCUUGAAUCUAAUCUUAAGUCGUGGUGAAGUGCUUAACAUUCUAUGAUUCACUUAGCCGGGUUUUCAAAAUUUAAAGAAUAAAUAAUUGAAAACAUUUCUCUUGAGUUAAGAACACCAACAAUAUUCUUACUCAUCUUUCUUUAAUAAUUGGAAUUAUAAAAAAUAAAACAAAGAAAAACGGCCCAACUGACUUCAGCCCUAACCCAACACCCAACCUUUUCCUCCUUCUUCCCCUUCAUCAGUCACGCACAACACACACAUCAGUCACGCACACACUCACGCUUCAGUCUCUCUCUCUCUAACUCACGGCCGCGUGCCACCACCCCCGGCGACGAGCGCCGCUCUGGAACACCUCUCCCUCGAACCCCUGUCACUCCCCCUGUUCUCUCUCUCCUCCUCGGCGACGACGAAAACGCCGCCGCCUCCCUGAAAGCUCAAACACCGCCCCAGCCCCUGUUCCCGAUGGCCGACGACCCCCAGGCCGCCGCCGUCCUGACCUCG